rnacentral:piRNA from 1 species
UGGGUGAUGAUGAAGAUGCGUGUAGGGACA